rnacentral:rRNA from 1 species
AUUGAACGCUGGCGGCAUGCCUUACACAUGCAAGUCGAACGGUAACAGGUCUUCGGAUGCUGACGAGUGGCGAACGGGUGAGUAAUGCAUCGGAACGUGCCCAGUCGUGGGGGAUAACUGCUCGAAAGAGCAGCUAAUACCGCAUACGACCUGAGGGUGAAAGCGGGGGACCGUAAGGCCUCGCGCGAUUGGAGCGGCCGAUGUCAGAUUAGCUAGUUGGUGGGGUAAAGGCCUACCAAGGCAACGAUCUGUAGUUGGUCUGAGAGGACGACCAGCCACACUGGGACUGAGACGCGGCCCAGACUCCUACGGGAGGCAGCAGUGGGGAAUUUUGGACAAUGGGCGCAAGCCUGAUCCAGCAAUGCCGCGUGCAGGAAGAAGGCCUUCGGGUUGUAAACUGCUUUUGUCAGGGAAGAAAUCUUCUGGGCUAAUACCCCGGGAGGAUGACGGUACCUGAAGAAUAAGCACCGGCUAACUACGUGCCAGCAGCCGCAGUAAGAC